CCACAAGCAGUGGAGUAUGUGGUUAAUUCGACGCAACGCGAAGAACCUUACCAGGGCUUGACAUCCUCUGACGACACAAGAGAUUGUGUUUCCCUUCGGGGACAGAGAGACAGGUGGUGUAUGGUUGUCGUCAGCUCGUGUCGUGAGAUGUUGGGUUAAGUCCCGCAACGAGCGCAACCCCUAUUGUCAGUUGCCAGCAAGAAAGAUGGGCACUCUGGCGAGACUGCCGUUGACAAAACGGAGGAAGGUGGGGACGACGUCAAAUCAUCAUGCCCCUUAUGUCCUGGGCUACACACGUACUACAAUGGCAACAACAGAGGGCAGCCAUGCCGCGAGGCAGAGCGAAUCCCAAAAUGUUGUCUCAGUUCAGAUUGCAGGCUGCAACUCGCCUGCAUGAAGUCGGAAUUGCUAGUAAUGGCAGGUCAGCAUACUGCGGUGAAUACGUUCCCGGGCCUU
rnacentral:rRNA from 1 species